GUGUCCCCAUGAGAGGUGCACACACAACAAGCAACUACUCCCCCAAACUCCUUCCACAGAUGAGGAAACGGAGGCUCAAAAAUGUUGGCUUGUCCCUAGUCACACGGUUUGUAAACGGCAGAAGUGGAGCAGAGAGUUUCACAGCUGCCUCUGGUCACCCACGUCCGUUGCAUCAUGGCCUAGCCUGACAGCAUGCCAGGGGUUCCAUUCGCUGCCGCAGAGGGCCAAGGGUCAGGAGAUGUAGGAUGUGGAGCCUCCUACCCGCCCUGGAGUGGAUGCAGGCAGUCUCUAGGGAUAAGGACUUCUACACCCUCCAUCCGGAAUUAGUGGCUCUUUUUUUUUUUUUUUAAAGUUGGUUUAUUUUCCAGUGAAUUGUGGGGUGUAGGGUAUGUGUGUAAUUGUUGCUUCCUCAAGAUUCACGACCAUGGUACCAAGGAUUUACAAGUCAUUUUCCACUGCAAGUAUUGGUUUUCUUUGGUAAGGACUUCCCCAUCAACUCAAAUACUGGCUAUGCUUCAGGGACAGGAGGAUGACUCAGGAGCUACCCCAAGGAGGACGGAGACUCUAUGUGGUAUGACAACCCUCUCAGUUGACAGUAACUCUCUGGGCUUGAGACAGUUUGUGGGAAAGAGAGGGACACUCUGGUGUUCCAUGUUCAUCAACCUUAACCUGGUCUGUGGCCAGAUGACAGUCACCACAUAUCAGGACAUCGCAGACCAAGCAGAUCCUGGGUGGUCACUGGCAUCCAGUUUCUCUCUCUCUCUCUCUCUCUCUCUCUCUCUCCCACACACACACACAUGCAUGUGGAGACAGAAAUACAAUCAAGGGUUCUAAAUCCUUCCAAACCAGAUGUGACCUCUGCAUGGCUCCUUCAGUCAAUUUCACAAAUAUUUACCGCGCACUUCCCUGUGCCAGGUGCAGUGCUGGCCACCAGGGAUCCAAAGGUGGCCAGGUCAGGGACACCAUUCUAAAUGUGCUCUCUGUCUAGUGGGCAGAGAUGUAACAUGCACGGUAACACUACAGCAAUGACAGCAAAGGCUGCCUGUUCACACGGUGGGCAGGAAGCACGGCUGCCCAUGGCCCGGGGGCGGGAAAGCAUUGCACACAGAGCCAAAGAAUUCGGGUCCCUCCCUGGAGCGCUUUGAUGAGGUUGCCUUACAGCUGAUCUGUGCUUGAGCACACCGAGAGGAAGCUAAAGACUGGGUACCUAAGUGAGAAAGUUGAGUUACUAGGUACGAAGCAUCAGUACCUCAUGCUGCCAUGGACAGCUGGGCAGGACCCGGCCUACAGGAAAGGCAGGAAGAGACAGGUGGAGAAGGUGGCUUUUAUUGCUUUUGCUCACACUGCGGAAUCUACCCUCUGAGAAUUUAGGGAAUCAUGGCUUCUCUCUCUCCUGCCUUCCCCCACAUCCCUUUUUUUCUUUAAGAUUUUUGCUUGUUCAGACUUUUGUUUUGUAUGCUUCCUCUGUCGCUCAGGCUUGCUUGAAACUCUAGUAUAGCCUAGAGCCCAGACUGACCUAAACUCAUGGCAACUCUUCUGCCUCAGCCUGGGAUUACAGGCAUGAAUUACCGUGACUGUGUUUUUUCCAUUUUCCUGUAAUUGUUGAAGGUAAAACUGAAUUGGUGGCCUGUUCACUGCCCUGUGGUUUUCACUCUUGCUGAUACCCUCUGACCAUUCCUUUGGAUCCAGAUGGAAAGCCAGCUCCUACGAGUUGCCAUGUUAGGACAUGGGGGGACAUGUCUCGCCUGGUCAGCCAGGGUUCAGAGAAGGAGAGCCCUCUUGAAUUCCCACAGGAGUGGAAUUUUAUUCGGCUGGUGGAGGAGCUGGGUGGUGGAGACCAGGAAAGGGCAGAGUUGGAGAAGGAGCCGGCAGGCAGGCAGUAUGGCUGACUAGCUGAGAGCACCUUCAUCUCUGGAAGGACCACAGAGGGAGGCUGAGGAGCGGUCCUGAGGAGCUGAGCCCAGUGGGAGUGGGCCUGAGGCUCGAGAGCCCUCAAAUGAGCACGUAGGGAGAGCUGGAGACACCAAUAAAUAAGAGAUGGACAUGUUUCAGCCUGAUGGCCCUCUGGGUCUGUCCCCUAGCUGACCUGGAUCACCUUCAGAGAGGACGAGCAACUGCUUCUCUUUAUCUCCACUUUGUGAGUUUGCCUUCUGGUCCCCCUUCACUCUGGGAAGAGCAGCUCCAGCUGUGCCAAGCUGAAGGGCUCAACCCUUACAUUUAAAGUAGAUAUUGGUGGGGGCAGAGAACCCUGACUUGACAGAGAAACAAACAAGCAAACAACCUCACAGGCGGUCCUAGGGUCAUGAACCGGGAACUCACAGUAUGGUGUGUGUGUGUAUGUUUGUGUGUGUGUGUGUGUGUGCGCGCGCGCGCGCGUGCGCGCGCCUCUGUUUUUAAAGGCCCAACAGGUGAUACUGGUGCGGUGUGUAGGAAAGCUUGCAAUCUUCUGUUCCCCCAACGGAACAAGUCACAGUGAAUUCGGCUUGAACAGCCUGCCGUGGGACACCUCCAUCAACAGCUAGCUGUGUGGGGACACUGAGACGAGGACCCAGCUGCUGAGGUUACCCCACAUUGCCUUCUGAGCCAGAUGUCCUCUUCUGUCCUGUCUUGCUGUCACAGCCCUUUCCAGAUUCUCAGAGCAAGCUAAGAAAGUCGACAUGCAUCCAAUUCGCAAGCCCGCUGGUGAGCCAGCUGCUGGGUGUGGAUGGCCAGCCAGCAGGCUCUCACGCCCAUACGGCCAAGGGAAUGAUGAGUUGGGAAAUCAGAGGUAUGCCCCACCCUGCAAGCCGGGCUGGCAGGUGACUCACACAAUUGACUGGUCCCAUUCCAGAGAUCACCAUUAAGCAGCUUGUGUCUGACACCCCAACGUAUGUGGGCAUCUAUGUGGGAUACCGUAUGGAGCAAGUGAAAAUGACAGGGACCUGCCUUGGAGGUCAAGAUGAACAGAUUGAGAGACCCUCCCACCGGUCUCAUUUGCCCCUGCUGCUCGCAGACACACCCACCUACCCACUCACUCCACAGAGAGCUGCACCCUGCUGCAAGGCUGUUGACUGUGUGGCGGCACCCUCAGCUCCUUGGCCCCUUGCCGGAAGCUCGCGAACUGAAUUGUAGCGCGGAGAGUGCAGAAGGGGGCGCGAUACACCGCAAGACAGAAUGCAUGCGGAUGUGGGACUGGAAGAGAAGGAAGGGACAGAAUCAAAUAAGACUGUGCAGCCUAGAUGGGAAGGAAGAUCAUGCCCAAACAGAUGAUUCAUACAUCCUACAAAUGCCUGGGGUACUGAAGUCCGGGAGGCCCCUUGGGUUGGCCCCACACUGGCAUCGCGAGCAGAAGUCUCCUUAAAUUUUGUACCUUGGACUCCUCACUUGCCUUGCUUUCUUCAAAGCUCUGGGGUCAAAAGCCAAAGCCUGACAAAUAGAAAGCACCAUGAAAAUGUUUGAUGACACCUGAGGAGCCUGGGGAGUUUAAAUAGGCUCAGAGGAUGGACCGGUGAUUUCAGAAGUGACUGAUGCUGUGCACACACAGGAGCAUCCCAGCAAGACUCCAUCCCCUCACAAGAAAGGAGUAUGCCAUCUUAGGCCCCACUCUGUAGCCAUGGCCUCAGGCUCGUGGCCACCCUCCUGCUAUAGCCUCUCUGGUGCUGAGAUCACAGGAGUGAGCUGCCAUGCCUGGCUACACCUUCCUUCAUGUUGCUGUCUUAAGCUGAUUUUUUCCUCCAAUAAAUAAGGGAAAAAACAGGCAAAAAAGAAAGGACCUGAACAA